GAUGAACGCUGGCGGCGUGCUUAACACAUGCAAGUCGAACGAUGAAGCCCAGCUUGCUGGGUGGAUUAGUGGCGAACGGGUGAGUAACACGUGAGUAACCUGCCCUUGACUCUGGGAUAAGCCUGGGAAACUGGGUCUAAUACCGGAUACGACCAUUGCCCGCAUGGGUUGGUGGUGGAAAGCUUUUGUGGUUUUGGAUGGACUCGCGGCCUAUCAGCUUGUUGGUGAGGUAAUGGCUCACCAAGGCGACGACGGGUAGCCGGCCUGAGAGGGUGACCGGCCACACUGGGACUGAGACACGGCCCAGACUCCUACGGGAGGCAGCAGUGGGGAAUAUUGCACAAUGGGCGAAAGCCUGAUGCAGCGACGCCGCGUGAGGGAUGACGGCCUUCGGGUUGUAAACCUCUUUCAGUAGGGAAGAAGCGAGAGUGACGGUACCUGCAGAAGAAGCGCCGGCUAACUACGUG
rnacentral:rRNA from 1 species